UGGUGGAAUUUAUUUGUAUUUUAUCACUACUGUUAAACUGGCUGCUGCUGUCACACACUGAGUGAAAUCCAUCUACAUAUGAGCUGCUUUGGUGGAAA